CGUAGGGUGCGAGCGUUAAUCGGAAUUACUGGGCGUAAAGCGUGCGCAGGCGGUUUAGUAAGACAGGCGUGAAAUCCCCGGGCUCAACCUGGGAACUGCGCUUGUGACUGCUAAGCUAGAGUACGGCAGAGGGGGUGGAAUUCCACGUGUAGCAGUGAAAUGCGUAGAGAUGUGGAGGAACACCAAUGGCGAAGGCAGCCCCCUGGGUCGAUACUGACGCUCAUGCACGAAAGCGUGGGUAGCAAACAAGAUUAGAUACCCUGGUAGUCCACGCCCUAAACGAUGUCAACUAGGUGUUGGGAGGGUAAAACCUUUUAGUACCGGAGCUAACGCGUGAAGUUGACCGCCUGGGGAGUACGGCCGCAAGGUUA
rnacentral:rRNA from 1 species